GUCAGUUUAGCUUAAUGGUAAAGCACAGGAUGUAUAAUCAAAGGGAUGUGAGUUUGAGUCUCAUGGCUGGCC
rnacentral:tRNA from 1 species